rnacentral:tRNA from 1 species
UUAGCUCAGUUGGUAGAGCAUCUGACUUUUAAUCAGAGGGUCGCUGGUUCGAACCCA